rnacentral:rRNA from 1 species
UACGAAGGGGGCUAGCGUUGCUCGGAAUCACUGGGCGUAAAGCGCACGUAGGCGGGUCUUUAAGUCAGAGGUGAAAUCCUGGAGCUCAACUCCAGAACUGCCUUUGAUACUGGAGACCUUGAGUUCGGGAGAGGUGAGUGGAACUGCGAGUGUAGAGGUGAAAUUCGUAGAUAUUCGCAAGAACACCAGUGGCGAAGGCGGCUCCCUGGCCCGAUACUGACGCUGAGGUGCGAAAGCGUGGGGAGCAAACAGG